AGAAUGAACGCUAGCGAUAUGCUUAACACAUGCAAGUUGAACGUUGUUUUCGAAUCAGAAUGAGAACAAAGUAGCGAACGGGUGCGUAACACGUGGGAAUCUGCCGAACAGUUUGGGCCAAAUCCCGAAUGAAUAAAAGCUAAAAAGCGCUGUUUGAUGAGCCCACGUAGUAUUAGGUAGUUGGUUAGGUAAAAGCUGACCAAGCCUACGAUGCUUAGCUGGUCUUUUCGGAUGAUCAGCCACACUGGGACUGAGACACGGCCCAGACUCCUACGGGAGGCAGCAGUGGGGAAUCUUGGACAAUGGGCGAAAGCCUGAUCCGGCAAUAUGGCGUGAGUGAAGAAGGGCAACGCAGCUUGUAAAGCUCUUUCAUCGAGUGUGCGAUUGUGACAAGACUCGAAUAAGAACGCCCCGGCUAACCUCCGCGCCAGCAGCCGC
rnacentral:rRNA from 1 species